rnacentral:rRNA from 1 species
AUUGAACGCUGGCGGCAGGCCUAACACAUGCAAGUCGAGCGGAUGAAGGGAGCUUGCUCCUGGAUUCAGCGGCGGACGGGUGAGUAAUGCCUAGGAAUCUGCCUGGUAGUGGGGGAUAACGUCAGGAAACGGGCGCUAAUACCGCAUACGUCCUGAGGGAGAAAGUGGGGGAUCUUCGGACCUCACGCUAUCAGAUGAGCCUAGGUCGGAUUAGCUAGUUGGUGGGGUAAAGGCCUACCAAGGCGACGAUCCAUAACUGGUCUGAGAGGAUGAUCAGUCACACUGGAACUGAGACACGGUCCAGACUCCUACGGGAGGCAGCAGUGGGGAAUAUUGGACAAUGGGCGAAAGCCUGAUCCAGCCAUGCCGCGUGAGUGAAGAAGGUCUUCGGAUUGUAAAGCACUUUAAGUUGGGAAGAAGGGCAGUAAGUUAAUACCUUGCUGUCUUGACGUUACCAACAGAAUAAGCAACGGCUAACUUCGUG